AUGAGUGGUUGGCUUCUCGACUCCGACACUCUGUAUGGACUAGCCCGGUCUUUGCCCAGAAGUUCUAGAAGGUACAAUGCUGAAAAUUCAGUAGAACAUGGUGCUCCUAUAAAUACUGAUAAUCCGGAACCUGGCAACCAUUGGCUUUUGAAGUUUGGCAGUUUGUUAAAGAGCAAAUUGAUCCAAGUAAAGAGCAAAACUGAAGUACCAAUGUACCUCUUAUAA
rnacentral:rRNA from 1 species